rnacentral:rRNA from 1 species
CCGUGCGAAGGUAGCAUAAUCAAUAGUCUUUUAAUUGAAGGCUUGAAUGAAUGGUUGGACGAGAAAUAAACUGUCUCUUUAUAAAUAAAUUGAAAUUUACUUUUAAGUAAAAAGGCUUAAAUUAUUUUAAGGGACGAUAAGACCCUAUAAAUCUUUAUAUUAAAUAUUAUUUAUUUUAAAAACAUAAGUAUAAAAAAAAAUAAAUAUUAUAUAAUAUUUUAUUGGGGUGAUAUAAAUAUAAUAAAUAACUAUUUAACUUUUAUUACAAUAAUUUUUGAUUUAUUUUUAAGAUCCUUUAUUAAGAUUCUAAGUUCAAGUUACUUUAGGGAUAACAGCGUUAUUUUUUUUAAGAGUUCCCAUCAAAAAAAAAGUUUGCGACCUCGAUGUUGAAUUAAAAUAUCCUUAUGGUGCAGAAGUUAUAAGAAAAAGUCUGUUCGACUUUUAAAAUUUUACAU